rnacentral:rRNA from 1 species
AAGUAAAAGUCGUAACAAGGUUUCCGUAGGUGNACCUGCGGNAGGAUCAUUAUUGAAAUAAACCUGAUGAGUUGUUGCUGGUUCUCUAGGGAGCAUGUGCACACUUGUCGUCUUUAUAUCUCCUCACCUGUGCACCUUUUGUAGACCUAGAUAACUCUCUGAUGCUUUAGCUAGUACUCAGAUUUGAGGAUUGACUCUUAUCAGUCUCUCUUUACAUUUCUAGGCCUAUGUUUCUUCAUAUACCCCAAUGUAUGUUAUAGAAUGUAAUUAUUGGGCCCUUGUGCCUAUAAACCUAUACAACUUUCAGCAACGGAUCUCUUGGCUCUCGCAUCGAUGAAGAACGCAGCGAAAUGCGAUAAGUAAUGUGAAUUGCAGAAUUCAGUGAAUCAUCGAAUCUUUGAACGCACCUUGCGCUCCUUGGUAUUCCGAGGAGCAUGCCUGUUUGAGUGUCAUUAAUAUAUCAACCUCUUCAGCUUUUGCUUGUCGAGUGUUGGAUGUGGGGGUUCUUUUUUUGCUGGCCUCUUUUUCUGAGGUCAGCUCCCCUGAAAUGUAUUAGCGGAACAUCUUGUUGACCGUUCAUUGGUGUGAUAACUAUCUACGCCAUUGAUGUGAAACAGUUCAGCUUCUAAUAGUCCAUUGACUUGGACAAAUUUUCAUUAAUGUGACCUCAAAUCAGGUAGGACUACCCGCUGAACUUA